rnacentral:rRNA from 1 species
GAUGAACGCUGGCGGCGUGCUUAACACAUGCAAGUCGAACGGAACUACUCCAAUGAGAGUCUUCGGAAAGGAUUUGGUUUAGUUUAGUGGCGGACGGGUGAGUAACGCGUGGGUAACCUGCCCUAUACAGGGGGAUAACAGUUGGAAACGACUGUUAAUACCGCAUAAGCGCACAGGAGCGCAUGCUCCGGUGUGAAAAACUCCGGUGGUAUAGGAUGGACCCGCGUCUGAUUAGCUGGUUGGCGGGGUAACGGCCCACCAAGGCGACGAUCAGUAGCCGGGCUGAGAGGGUGGACGGCCACAUUGAGACUGAGACACGGCCCAAACUCCUACGGGAGGCAGCAGUGGGGAAUAUUGCACAAUGGGGGAAACCCUGAUGCAGCGACGCCGCGUGAGCGAAGAAGUAUCUCGGGAUGUAAAGCUCUAUCAGCAGGGAAGAAAAUGACGGUACCUGAAGAAGAAGCCCCGGCUAACUACGUG